rnacentral:lncRNA from 10 species
UCUGUUUCACCAUUCAAACAGAUUGGAGAACAAGAGAGAUGAAGGAAGAAAGGAAGCCAGCUUUUAGUGCAGGCCUACUAUGUACAGGCGUUGGGCUAGGUACCCCCAUACAUUCUCUCAACUUAUUCUGAUAACAGCAUUUCAAGGGCCUCACGAGGAUGAAGGCGCUGCAAGAGGACUCUUGGAUGGAAGUGACUUGUUGGGAGAGCCCAUGAGCUCUCCAGAAAGGACUCCCAGCCUGCAGAAAUGUUCUUUCUGUACACAUAUGACACAUGCACUUAUACUCACCACCUCUCCUGUGGACACACCUCCACAGUGUGCCCCUGUGAAUCCCAACCCACACUUUAAUCCACCUUCUGCCACCAUCUCCACAUCAGUGGUCUAGAGCUGGCGGCAAUGGAGAAAAACACACCCACUGUACAGAGAAGAUGCCUGAAGUGGAGGGACAAGAGACCUGCCCAAGGUUACAUGGAUGUAUGCAGAGCCAGAGUGGGUGCUCAGGCAGCUGUGGUGUGGUGGAAGCACAUCACCUGAUCUCCUCUCCCCAGCUGUGUGACCUGGGGCAGGUCACUUAACUUCUCUGAGCCUAGAGUCUGCAUCUGUGAGACGAUAACACCCACUUCAGAGGGCUUCCGUGAGGAUCCAGGGAGUCAUGUGAUACAAGCACCUCCUUACAAGCUAUAAAGAUGGUGAGAGCUAGUGGACA